CCUCCUGUAGCUCAAAUGGCCUAAGAGCACGGCGGACAACGCCGAAGAUGUGGGUUCGAUUCCCAUCAGGAGAU
rnacentral:tRNA from 1 species